GACGAACGCUGGCGGCGUGCUUAACACAUGCAAGUCGAACGGAAAGGCCCCCACUUUUUUGGUGGGGGUGCUCGAGUGGCGAACGGGUGAGUAACACGUGGGUGAUCUGCCCUGUACUUCGGGAUAAGCUUGGGAAACUGGGUCUAAUACCGGAUAGGACCAUGGUUUAGUGUCUCAUGGUAGAAAAAUUAUUGUUUUGGUGCAGGAUGAGCUCGCGGCCUCUCAGCUUGUUGGUGGAGUAAUGGCCUACCAAGGCGUCGGCGGGUAGCCGGCCUGAGUGGGCGGACGGCCACAUUGGGACUGAGAUACGGCCCAGACUCCGACGGGAGGCAGCGGUGGGGAAUAUUGCACAAUGGGCGCAAGCCUGAGGCAGCGACGCCGCGUGGGGGAUGACGGCCUUCGGGUUGUAAACUCCUUUCGUUAGGGACGAAGCCGUACCUUUUUUGGGUGUGGUGACGGUACCUUUGUUAAGAAGCACCGGCUAACUACGUG
rnacentral:rRNA from 1 species